rnacentral:rRNA from 1 species
CUCUUCGGAGAGCGAGUACAGUGGCAACGGGUGAGUAACACGUGGGUAAUCUGCCCUUAGGUUCGGGAACAACACUUCUAACGAGGUGCUAAUACCGAAUAACAAGGCCGAUUGCAGGAUCCGGGUUUUUAAAGGUGGCCUCUACUUGUAAGCUGCCGCCUGAGGAUGAGCCCGCGUCGUAUUAGCUUGUUGGUGGGGUAAUGGCCUACCAAGGCAACGAUGCGUAGCCGGCCUGAGAGGGUGAACGGCCACACUGGAACUGAGACAAGGUCCAGUCUCCUACGGGAGCCAGCAGUCUAGAAAUUUGCACAAUCGUCGAAAGGCGGAUGCAGCGACACCACGUGGAGGAUGAAGCCCUUCGGGGUGUAAACUCCUGUCAGUUGGGAAGAAGGCGCGAGUGUUAAUACCACUCGUUGCUUGACGGUACCUUCAGAGGAAGCUCCGGCUAACUACGUG